rnacentral:rRNA from 1 species
AGGGUUCGAUCAUGGCUCAGGAUGAACGCUGGCGGCGUGCUUAACACAUGCAAGUCGAACGGGAAUUACUUUAUUGAAGCUUCGGUCGAUUUAAUUUAAUUCUAGUGGCGGACGGGUGAGUAACGCGUGGGUAACCUGCCUUGUACAGGGGGACAACAGCUGGAAACGGCUGCUAAUACCGCAUAAGCGCACAGCAUCGCAUGAUGCCGUGUGAAAAACUCCGGUGGUACAGGAUGGGCCCGCGUUGGAUUAGGUAGUUGGUGGGGUAACGGCCUACCAAGCCGACGAUCCAUAGCCGACCUGAGAGGGUGACCGGCCACAUUGGGACUGAGACACGGCCCAA